ACAGAAGAUUAUUAUAAAAUAAUUUCUUUAGGGUUUGGGCUCCUUGAAAUAAAAAGCUGGGUAGUGCUGUCCAUGUCUCAGGUUAAAAUUAAGCUACCAAUAUUUUACUAAUACAACUAUAUUUAUAAUUUUGAAAGUUUUGUGGUGGUUUGCUGUUACAUCAAAAGGCCUAUUAAAUAUCAGUGAAUACACUCACAUGUCCUAUUUGUAGAAAUAUUUUUAUCCUUACUCUAUAAAAGAAAGAUAAAUGUACAUAAAGUUUGAAAAUUAUUUAUAUACCACCAAAGUCCUGAAAACAUAUCUGGUUAUUUAAUAUGUAAAAGCAGUUGGAAAUGCAGUUAUCACACAAAAUUUAUUAUCAAAUAAAGUAGAUACUAGUUCUGCUCAGGCAGAAGCUAGUGCUGCAUAGAUACAUUUUUAGAUUUACACUAACAGGAGAAAGUAGUUAAAAUAUUCUUUUCUAAUUAUCUCUGAAAAUUUAAUUGCACAAUAUAGGAGAUUGAAGUGGAUAAAGUAUCAGAAAAAUAGUAUUCUUGAUGCACAAGAGAUGAUAUACUAGAAUUUAUUACGAGAUUGCUGCUAGUAAAAAUAAUAUUUUUACAUUACCUAUUGCAACCAGUAAUUCUUGAAAGUAUCCAUCAUAACAUUCAUUAAUGGCAUCUACUAUGUCUUGCCCAGAGAUAUUUUGGAACUCCUGGAAAACUUAGGGGGGAGGGGUGGAAAAAAAAAUCUUGUUUUAUUCUAGUUCAUUAAUAAUGGUCAACUUGCUUUUUGUGUUUUUUUAUUCCUUGCUUCUCCCCAGUACUAUAACUAUUGAGUUUAUUUUUUUACCCUUAUUAUUCUCAGUGUUUCAAAGUGCCCAGUCAGGCAACCUAAAUGAUUUAGCCUGAACCUGGCUUCUGGGACAUUUUCCCCUGGGCUCUUCAGCCUACAGUAUAAAAUGAAUGCAUGCCACAUAUCUAGCAACAUUUGUUUAUGACACUUGGAACAAUGUCCUGCUGGUAAGACAACUUCCUUGCUUGGCUUGGCUGAAACUGGCAAGACUGCUGGGUUGUGGCAAGGAGCCAGGACUCACAUGACGCGCACACUCGCUGCAAGGUGCAGAUACGCAGACACCCAAAUAUCCAGGGUGUGCUUUCUCCAUUACGGAAGGAGGAACAUUCUUUUUCUGCUGACUACAAAACUUACGGAGGACUACAGUACAGGCAGGGCCCUCACACCUCAGGAAGAGAGCAGAACACAGAGCAGGUGUGUUAAUCCUGUCAUCAUCAGCUGAAUGGAUUUGUUGAUCCAUGAUAGCAAAGUAGUUCUAAGCUACUGUUGGAAGCUGACGUAAGAAAUACAGCUGGCUGCACAGUGAUAAACUUGUCAGCAGACAGACUGUUUUUCUGCUGCAGAGCAGAAACUCAAACUUGCCACAGGUGAAAUAGGUUUAUUUUCUACAAUGGAAGAUUUGGAAAAGCUCACAUAAAUUUCCUGCAAUCUGUAGCUCUGUCUGAUUUUCUAUUUUAAGUAAAAAUGGCCCUUGUGUUUCUCUGUUUAUGUUCAUUACUGGAAGACAGGUGUGAACACUGAAGUCCUCCCAUAAAAACUUCUAUGAAACUUUUGAGGAAAAGCUUCAACAAAGUAAUGUGUUUUCACAUGCAAGCAUUUGCUGAAAAUAUUCCAUCCAGCUCUCCCUAGAUGUUUUCCCUCAUAAGAGUUGCUUAGGAAAAAUGAAUAGAAUAGUUAAAAAAAUGUCCCCCAUCCUGUUGUGUCAUGUGUAGACUCAGUGCAGCUGUAACAUUUGCCUUUCUUUGGUCAUACAUUCUUCUCUGGGUUAUUAGGCAUCCUGAUGCCUGUCUGUUCUGUCUACAGCUGUCAGUUGUCAUAGGGCAAAGUUCAGUUUUGCAUUACUUCCAAAUUCCCAUUCACAUCAGUGCAAGUCUGAGAGCUCCAACAGUUUGCACUUGCUUUCAGGCUGAUGACCUGCUGCACACUGGCUGUCUUGGUAUGCAAAGCAUGGCUUUCUUAGCGAGUCACAUUUUUACUUUACACUCUGUAUUCAAACAGCUGAACUGCUGGAUUACCCAUCCACAACUGCUGCUGACUCCUGUUGCAGAGAAUCAUUUGCAGCAUGUUUUUGUGUUCGCCUGUCUUCUGCUGACAUGCUUCCCAUAGAAUCUAAUAUAUCAGAAAAAUUGAAAAAAAAGAGCAAAAUAUUUAAAAAGAUGUUAAAGAUAAUGAGCACAGUAACUGCAAUGAGAAUGACAAGGAUGACCACUCUGCUGUAUAAACUACGGACUGAUAAAACUGCAAAAGUUGUGUUGGUUAAAGCCUCCUGAUGUUGAAGAACUGUGUAUAGAAUUGUAAAUGAAUCCAUGUACAGAUUAUGGAUUUGGUGGAGUGGUGUAGAUCUUCAAUUAGAGAUAUCAACAUAUAAAGCUGGUGAUAAUUUUCUAUUCAGCCUGUAAUAAUAUAGGAAGACAAGUCAAACACUGUACCUUGGAAUUGUUUGCUUUGAGGUCAGUGAGAUGCAAGAUCUUCAGCUGCCCCUUUUCCCAAAAUUACCUGUUUGAGUGAGAGAAAAACACUGAAGCAUCACAACAGCAAUAGGAAGUAAUAGAAGAUUAAGCACCUGAGAUCUACAGUUUUGCAGAGACUGGUUGAAUGAAGACUCUUAAAAAGGUUUUGCAUCAAUGCACCUCAACAUAAGGUCUGUUUUUUGUAGGAUUGUAAAACUUCUACAGUUCUUCCUCUUAGAAUUUCGGCUGUGAUCUAAACUCUGGAUUUAACUACACAAAUGCAUCACUUGCAACUUUCCAUUCAUAUCUACCCAGGAACAGCUCUGCUAAAUUGCUCCCAUAUCCUUUGUGAUGGUCUUUUAUCAUCACAUUGUUUGUUUCAUGAUCAGUUUCUCUGGAGUUUGUCUUCCAACAGCCUUUGGAAAGAAGAAAUUCACUUUUUAUUAAACUCUCUCAAAGCAGUAGUAGAGGGAGAUAGAGAUGUCACUGUCCACUAAGUAUGUGUGUCCUAGCAAGAUACAGAAUCACGGUGCCUCCCUUUCUGUUUUUCAAACAGUUUUAGAAGUCCAGUUCUAUAUUUCCACCAGCAUGUCAAAGAGUGGGCAGAAGAUGGUGUCUCAGAGGAAUUCACAUAAAUGUGACAUCACAGGUUUUGUUCGGAGUGGAAAGCUUUCUCCAGAAGAGACUGACAUCACUGAGCAAUCAUCACUGACAAGAAAACCUGCCAGGAGACUCUAUCCACUGAUGCAACUUCUGAUCUCAAAAUGCUCAACUUGUCAGUGCCUUGCUCUGCAGUGCCGUUGGGAAAGGCAAGGUGCUUAUUCCAAAGUGUGAAAAGGGAUCCAGUUACCAGACUCAGAAUGUAAUUGUGCCAAUUCAAGAGCACGGCAAAGACCUGGGCAGUGUUAAUUUGCAGGCCUGGUUCAGGACAUCUCCAAGUGUUCCAGGGGAGGUGAAAAGGAACAGGUGAAGCUAUUGCAAUGCAAAGCAGGUGGCAGCAGGAAUAAUUACCUUAGCUGACUGCCAGGUGGUUCUGUUUGCUGAAAUACAUUAAAGGGGUGGGGAGGAGAGUGGGGUAUUGGGACUAUUAUUUUUAAGUUCUGUUUACCUGAGUGAAGAAAACAAAGUCCAUCAUAGUUUUGUGCCUACUUUAGGAGAAAAUAGGCAUGGUAGUUUAUAUUUGUUGAAGGUUGUUUUGGUUGUAAGAUGGUGCCUGUGAUUUAAAGGAGCUAUGUAGGUAAUGAUUUUCAUUUUAUUUCACUGUCUGCAUUCUGCUGCAGAUAUUUCUCCCCACUGUAUAUUUCUCUCUUGUUUUAGGCUUCACUUUGAGCUUUGUGACCCUUUACCACAUCUGUAAACUAAUAACUCAGAUUAAGUAGCUGAGUUCUUAUGUGUCCUAUAAUUUGUCAGCAAGUCAUCUGCAGCAAGGUGGGAAGAGUUGCAGUGUGUAUGACAUAGAGCUGAUUUCAUGAUUGCCUGGUGUUGUGAGAAAAACAUAGCUUUGAGUUCACAGCUGAAAAGAUGGAAUUGUUCUGGAAUUAAAGGAAAUCGAAGAUAUUUUGAAUACAUGCACAGAUAUAUGGAUAUAAGUAAGUUUGUAAAUAGACAAAAUAUUGUCUAUUUUUCUGGGUUGGGAGAAUCUACUGGCAGGAUCUUCCUGACUUUGUGUGACCUUGAGAAAGUCCCUUAAGGUAUCUCCUCUCAGCUUCCUUAAUUUUUAAUUGAGAGACUGAUACACCCCUGCCUUACAUUAUGUAUAAGCUGCAUCUUCUUUUGCAAUGUAUUUUAAGGACUUCUGAAUUAAUAGGUUUAAUUGGUCAGAAAAGGUAACUAGCAUCUUCUGUCUUCCAUUCCGACUGAAAUCCUCUCAAUGUCAAGAUAAAACCAAAAUAUAGUAGAAUAAUACAGAACAGAACCAGAAGUACAGACCAUCUAUUUGUUCUAUGUUUCCAGGUGUUUCUUUAGCUUAAAAGUCAAAAAAGAAUAAUGCCUGUGUUUUUCUAGCUACAGAGCAACGGAAAAUUUUUUGGUAGUGCAAUUUUUAAAUAAAACCAAAACUCUUAAAGAGUAUAGAUUUUCAAAAAAGUUCAUUAAAAAAAAAUAUCUGUAUUUUAACAAAUCUAAUGCACAUACAUAAAAAAAUUCUAAGAAAUGAAUGUGAAAUAUCUCCUAGUGAAAUGCUUUUAUUUUGAUUCAAAAUGAAUGUGUGGAAUUUUUGGGCAUUCUCUUCUAUGUAGGCUGAGCUACUUAAACAGUUGUAACUUGAAUGAAAGUAGCUCACAUUUCAGCUCUUCAGCUGUGAUUGCUAUGCUAAGGUAUUUCCUACAGUCAGAUGGACUUCUAGCUUAGAUACAGUGGAGUGAUUUGUUUCUGAAAUGUGUUCAUGGAAAACAGUUGCAGUUGAUAGAAAAAGUCACUUUUAGAGUUUGUGUUGCCCAUGUUGUUCAUUCAUAGGUUCCCAGAUAAACAAAAUCUUUCUGGAAGAAAUAUAUUUCAUUCUGGUGUAACAUCCAGGUGUCUCAUAAAAAUGGUAGUAGUUGUGAAUAUUGUUAUCCCCUCAGUGGAUUUCAUCUUGUAUGAAACUCAGCAACCAUGACCUCACAUGCAUAUCACUGCAUGACCUUUCAAGAAGUCAUUAUGAUGUUGGACAAAGCUUGUUUCAUGAAAGUGACACCAGCAAGCAUGAAAUAUUACAGCUGUUAUAACAAAGCAAUAUGUUGUCACUGCUAGAACAUUAGGUUUUGAAUGAGCUAUUUCAGUAACCAGAUAAAAUUCUUUAAUCUAGUAAAUAAAAUGAAACUGUUUACUGUGGGUAUGAACCUAACUCUUCUGGCGUCUUUAUUAUAAUACACUUUUACCAAUACAUAAUUAAACUGAGAAGAGCAGUUCAGGAGUUUAAAAUAACUAAAUUAAUUACCUUGGAUUUUUGUUCAAGUGACAAGCAUAGAUAUCUUGGGCUAGGGAUCAAACUUGUUGUCUAAAAAAGUGAAAACAUUUCCCAUGAUUGUUCAUGUUACCUGGGAUAUGAAAUGUUAUCUUGAGAGCUCACAAUUUUGGAAUAGAAAUAAGCAUACAGUACUGUUGGAUGGACACUGGUGUGAGACACAAAACAGUCUUCACUAGUUUGAACUUCCUACUGCUGUCAUGAUACGAUUGUAUUGUAUUGCACCUCUGAAACUGGACUUAUUUUUCAAUGGCUGAAACAUCUUCUGUGAUAUUCAUUUAGGUAUGUUCUAGAAAACAAACUUGUUAGCACAUUUAGGUAUGUUCUAGAAAACAAAGUUGUUAGCACUUGUUAGCUUACUGAGAUGAAUACAGAAGGCUUUUUCUGAACUAGGUGUUACACAUGUGCCACAGUGGUACAUCUUAAGAAUCCCUUCCUUAUGUUCAUUAAUACAUAUUCAGUACUCAUCAGUCUUAAUUCUAAAUUGUAUUUUAAACUUUACAGCAUUGUAAAAAUAUCAAUGAGAUUGAUGAAUGUGUUUCAAGCCAUAGGGAAUCUGAAUCAUAAAGUGUAACUACAAAGAUGUGUUCUUGUUUCUGGACCCACAUUAUUGUUCAUAAUAAAUUAAUUCCUGUUGUAUUACACAGUUUAUAUUUUCAUUACAGUAAAUCAAAGUGCAUGUAGUCACAGAGUAGCUCCAGAAAGCUGCAAGUAUUUUUAGUUUUAGUAUUUUAUAUCCUCUUUGCCAUUCAAGAUACCAGAUAAUUCUGGAGGAGGGAGUGAAAGAUAAAUAAUUUAGUAACAAAACUAUAGACUGAAAAACAACCUGCUGCUUCUCGCUUUUAUUGCAUUUUUCCUACAACAUAUACUGUUUAUGAAGUUAUAUGAGUGGAAACAUGAAGUGUGGAUCCUCUCUCCUUGUUGAUCAGUUUUGUCUCAUAAUUCUCUUGGCUUAGAGUAUUCUUUCCUCCUAAAUAAUGGCAUUUCUGUUAUCAAAUAGCAUGGGUGGGCAUUUUAUCUCAGGCAUGGCUGUACUCUCUUAUUUCUGUAAUGUUCUGUUCAUUCUUUAAGAUUUUUUUUUUAUUUGUUAUUGCUCCGUUUCAUUAUUUUUUGUCAAAAUAGGUUUACAUUUAGGUCUCUAGACUAUGCAUAAUUUUGUGUUAUUUUAUGUAAUAUAAUCUUCAGUGGCAUAAUUUGAUGGGAUAUUCAUUGUUUAUGCUGUUUCAUAGGUUAGGCGGGGCUGAAAUGCUAUGGAGGUGGUUAAAAGAGAUGUGUCCUUCAAUCAGUUUAGUAAAUGCAAAUAAAAUAUUUGGUAUGAUGCUUGUAAAUGGAAAUGAAAUCUUUGAGAAAGCUGUGGGGAAAAAAAAAAAGGUCAGGAUCCAUAUAUGGUGUUAGAGGAGAUUGCAUGUAGAAAUAUGCUUGAAAGAGUCUUCCCCCUAAAGUUCCAUUCUUUCAUUCCUUUGGGACUCAGUAAAAGAGGAUCUUCACUUUUCCAGUCCUAAGUGGGAAUUGGCUUCCUGAAGUGAAAAUAUAAUUGAGCUGCAAAUGCUGAAAACCUUGAAGGCACUCAGGAGGACAUACCUGUAUGCUUCACUCCUGCUUUCCUCUGCAUCUGCAGCUGUGAACAACAGGUUGCAGGUUUAGAUAGGAUUUAAGAAAGGCAUAUCUUUGGAAGUAAUUUGAAAAUUCUUGAUGCUCUGCAUUUUUAAAAUUAGGCUAGCUGUUUGGCUGUCUAAAGGGAGAUGACAAUGCUCACAUUUGAGAUGCUGAAAAUCCUCAUCAGUUUCUCCUGAUUAAUGGCUUCUAUAUAUAAUUCAAGGAGCUUUAGCAUGAAAAUGCCACCAAAAAUUCAAUAAGAGCAUAGAAACAAAAGCUCUUUUAAUUAAUUAGAAAUGCUUUCUGAAUUUGCAGAAAGCUUUCCCCUGGGGACCUUCCAAAUAUGCAUAAAAGUCUAGAAUACACAGACUAAAAUCUCACAACAAAUCAAUGAGUUUUUUCUCUAAACUCAGUGCAGCACAAAAGAGAGUUCUAGAAGAGUUAGCUUGCUGCCAAAAUAAUUUGUCUGAGCUCUUUCUUCAUGCCUUCUCAUUUCAUUGGUUCAGUAGCUUAAGAACAUAAUUUUUUGUUUUGUUUUUGUGCUGUGAAAAAGGACAAAAGAAUGGAAGCAUUAUGAUAAGUUCCCUGAUGGCUCUUGUUUUAAGAAUGAAGCCUUAUUUUUUUUUUUCAGUUGAGGUUAGAAUUUUUUCCUUUGUUUGAAUAGAUGUCUGUCUUCCCUGACUACACCAAAAAAGAUUUACACCUGAGUGUUGUCCACAACAUUUAUCUGGGGACUCUGCUCUGGGUCUGAAUUUCUUGAAAUCCCAGCAUUGCAGUUUACAGAUUACACACAUGCUCUUCUUGAGGAAUGCCUCAAAACAGUUCUUCAUGCACUUCAGGCUGAGCUUACCUGUACCUUGAAAGAAAAAAAGCAGAUUUAUGUCCCACAGGGACAGCAAAUAACAUAUGAAGGAUAUUGCUUUUAAAAACCCCAGAGUGAACAUUAGGGCUAAAUGAGAAGAGUGUGGCGGCCCUGCUGUCCUCAUGGGUAAGCUCUGGCAGAGCUGCAGGUGUGGUUUCCUGUACUGCAGGCCAGAUGUUGCACCUGUGAAAGGUAACACUGAUAGACCUGUGACCUUCCAUAGACUGAGAGCAUGAGUGUCUCAGUAUUUUUGAGGAAACUGAGAGCAGACAAAGAACAAGGCACAGUAAAAGAGCAAAUGGGGCUCUACAGCACAUUGGCUUCCUAUGCAUCCCCACACCAGUCUUUCAGAAGGGUGCUGGUGUUAAACACACAUCCAGGAUGUUGUUGCUGCUUUAUACUGAGCAUAUAUUUCUGCAAUUCUGAAAAGCCUAAUGGGUACCAGUUAGGAAUGAGUAAUUUGAGCAAUAGUAACCAGUGUAGCAGUGUUUCUUCUGGGCUGAGAAGCCCAGGCAAAAUGCCAAAGUAACGUAGCUAUGCAGAUCUGAAAUUUGGGUCUUUCUGUAGGAUUAUGUUUUGUGCUAUGUUCAAAUCUCUUUACAGAUAAAUUAUCAUGUGACUGGCUUUACCAUAUCCUCAUAGAGAAGUGAGAUGACUAAAAAAAAAAAAAAAAAGGGCAGCAGUAAUUUUAUACUGAAAGAGCAUCUAACAUGUAUUAAAUUUAUCUCAUGUUUUAUAAUGACAUUCUGAUUGUCCUUUUACAAGAAUACCUGUGGUUGUAAACAACCUAUUGACACAAUAGCUUAUGCAACAAUCCAUGUUGUUUGAACUUUUAGAGAUUAAGGCAUCAUUCUAUAAGCUCUUUACAAAUACUUCCUCGAAACAAGGUGUGGGCAAACACGACAAGUUGCUGUUUUGUGGUUCUGCCUCUUUCUGUCUUCCAUGAGAUGAGGAAAAGUACAAGUAAAGUCAACCAAGUGUACAGUAUGAAAGCCACUCAAUGGAUUACUUAAAUUUAUACCUAAUUUCAAGUCUGAGUUGCAUCAGUGUUGAAUAUCAACGAGGACAGAGAGAUAGACCUCUACAGAUUUUCACAGGUGUUUUCUGAGAUGGUACAAUUAUUCGUACAUGCAUUAUAUGACAUAUUAUCAGGCAUUUUCCACUGUUUUUCUUCAGUGUUGGACUAUUAGAGUUUUAAAUUAUUUUUUUACAUUAUGUCAAAGGGGGAAACAUAUAUAAGGCCAUGUCUGCAAGAUUAGAAUGUGCCUAAUUCUGAUUACAUCAUAGUUUCUUUUUUUCCAUACACUUUUAAUUAGGUAACAGAGAAAGAAAAUAUGCUCAAAAUAUUCUUUCAGAAGUAGAUAGAAGCUAGCAGGUCUAAAAGUAAUUUGCCUUUUAUAUGUAAAUAUGCUUUGCAUGCAAUAAAUCUCUAUAAGAGUUCUAUUAAAUAUUUUUAGAAAGGUGUUUAUACUUAAAACCAAGAAGCUCAUAUGUAUCAACAAAGCUCAUUUGACCACCAGACUGGGAGAUAAUGAUUGUUAUUAUGCAAAAAUGGCAAUAACUUCUCAAAGUGGCAGGUAAAAUUGUUUUUCUUCCCCCCUCAAUUUCUGACGAGGCAAAUGAAAACUGGGACAAUAUUUUCCUCUCUACUUUAUUUUCAUUUAAAUUAUGAUGUUCUGCAACUGAAAAAGAGCAAAGUAAAAUCAACUGCUUUCUAUGAAAUGUAAUUUCUGCUAUUUACCUGAUGUAUGGAUUAUUUUGGAAAAGCCCAUCAUUUUUUGACAAGAUCUUUUUCUGCAAUGAUUUGUGCCAGAGAUGUGUCUCAAAACAAUGAGCCCUUUCAAAAACUUUUGUUCAAGAAAUAUUUUGAAAAAAUAUAUAGGGUUAGGGAAUUAACCCCUUGUCAUAGCAUAAAUGGCCAUGCUAUUUCUGUUGAGAAAAUAUAGUUAUAUUUUGUUAGCAUUAAAUUGCUGAAUGGGAAAACUUGGAGAUAACCUUUUUAACUGAAAGUUCUCCUGCUCUAUAGUAUUUUCAAAUAUUUUUAUCAAUUUAUUGAAAGCAGAUAUAAACUCAGCAAUUUAUAACUACCUACUAAAGUUCUUUUUAUGAACCAAACUUCCUGACUGAAGUAAUUUAUAAGAUUAAUGUAAAAUUUGCAUUUUACCUUUACCUAAGGGAUGUUCUAGAUAUUGUUAAUUUGCUUUCCUUCAUCAAUGGCACACUGCUGCUUGUGUCACCAUGGCUAUCACA